CAUUUUCAUUAAUUUUCUACACCUAUAGCUAGUCAAUAGUAGUGACAAAAUAAAUAAAUAUAUUGAAUAAAAACAUCACUUUACUGGGUCUUAAUUGGUGUGUCUUGAGUGAAUCUAUGCCAAUGUAUAAUGAAUCUAUAUUUUUUUCAAAGAUCUUAUCCAGCCCACCGUAUCUGGCCUUUAAACUGUCACAGAAUUGCACACUGAGUUCUGCAUUUUGCCCUUACAACAGGUGAAGUAAGACCCAAAUCCCACCUGUUUCUUUAGGCUGAUGUCUUUUAGCAGGAAUUAUGAGGACAGCUCAUCUGUAACAAGAUAGUAAAGAUCAGUGGAGUAAUGGGGUCACAAGUAUUCAGUUGAUGUCUUGUGACGCCUAGCUAGUGCCAUGUAUCUGAAGCUGUUUGCUUGCCACCGAAGAAAGAUUUAUGUCUUCAGCCAUGCAAAGUGAAAUAGCCGCAUUGUGGAGAAGAAGGCAAAUGUUUGCUUGUUCAAGUUUGGCUCUUAUUCAUCUCCCAGCUGACUAAAUCCAUGAAGAUAAACAUGGCCUGACUUCCCCAGCUCAGCAAUGACUGCUUAUUGUCUUCGAAUAAAUACUGCAAUAUUAUUGCUCCACACUUUCCUGGCCACUGGCAGGCUAUGAAAACAAGCUGAAGUAAUGCCAUAAGUCAUAACAUAUACAGUCUCCGUUGUCAUUAACCCAGGGGAAAAGAAAAAAGGAGGAUUCAGAAGUCAACUUUGUUUUAACCCUUUGAAUUGUAAUCAUUUUUUUUUUUUGCCUCCUCUAAACAUGAUUGAUGUCUCCUAGGAGCUCCCUAUCCUUUCAUAGGUUAGGAAGCAUUAAGUAGUUGCACUUUCCACUGGCUGAGUCUAAUCACAUUCCUAUAGAUGAAGCAGACUGCCUUGGACACCCACAGCUUCCUAUUUAUCUUUUAAAAUGCAAUCUACGCUUUUGAAGAUGAGCUCAUCUUGAGGAGUGGCUGAAAUAGGAGAACAAGAAUAGAGGAUGGAUCUUGGAAGAAACCAGCACAUGGUAACGCUUAUGCUAAAAGCACCGUAAUAAGCUGCCCUAAAG